GGCACGGCUCUAUGAGACAAGAAUAGAGAGAAGGUUUCGGACAGAGAGCCAACAGAUGGUAGAGCCAAAACGAUAACAAAUUCAGACUACACUCAUUUUCCAUUUCAACCACUUAAUGGUGAUAAUGAUCAUUAACAUGUGCCGGGCAUCAUUCUGAGCGUUUGAACCAUAAUCUCAUUUAGUCAUGGUAACAGCUUUACCACUCGGGGUAUUAUGAGUACUUCCAUUUCACAGUUUAAGAAACCAAAUUUUGAUUUUGGAACCAAUUACUGAUUUUGGUCAGAGUAAACUGUACUGUCAGGGACCAGAUGCCAGCCUUGUGACACCAAAAGCCUGUGCUCAAAAUGAAUAAGCUUCUACUGGCCAUUCUCAAAACAACAAAGUUUAUCAAUCGAAUCGAAAUUGUGAAAAUAUCUGACAACCAGUUUAAGAAUCAAGUACUUCCAAAAGAUCCAUUCUCUUCCCUCUAUCUGUACCCUGAGGUAAUUGUGGAAAUGAUGUCUGUGCCUAACAAUUAGGAUUACAUUAUAUUAUUCAUAUGUAUUUCAUCCUUAUUCUAAUUAUCACUAUGUUCUAAAUUAAUAAGCAUUUCACUCAGCAUUAAUGCAUACUAGCAGUUUGAAGUGUUAAUUUUCGAAAUACUUUUGCAUUUUAAGCUGGGAUUUUUUUUAAUUUUUUAAAAAACUUAUUUAUUUUUGAGAGAGAGAAUGGGGGAGGGGCAGAGAGAGAGGGAGAUACCAAAUCCAAAGCAGGCUCCAGGCUCUGAGCUGUCAGCACAGAGCCCAACGCCCUGCUUGAACUCACAGACCACAAGAACUCAUGGACCACGGGAUCAUCAUGUGAGCCAAAGUGGCCUCUGAGCCAAAGUUGGACUCUUAACCAACUCAGCCACUGAGGCACCCUUUUAAACAGAAGAGACCUGCCUCUGAUGGGGAAACUACAGGCCUUAAGGAAAAUAUUUAGGACCAAAGGAAGUUCUUCUUUCCCUGAAUAUUAUGGGCAACAUAUACAGCAACAUACCCACGGUGAGAGAAGAAACUCAGUUUGGAAAGCAAUAAGCUACAAAAAAUGGCAUAUGAAGUAGUAUACAGGUAAAUAUAAAGUAGAAGAAAAACAGAUGAGAGGCAUCUGCAGGUAAGAAAUAGAUGAUACUUCAAUUCCCCAAGGUUAUAGUUCAGCAGGAAAAACAGAUUAAAACAGCAUGAGUUGUAUUUUCUGCCUCAGUAUACUUACCUGUAUAAAUACAUACUAUAUAUGUAUAUAAUGUAUAAAUACAAAUAUAUACAUAUUUUAUGUGUAUAUGUGUCAGCUCUCAACCAGUCAGAGACACACACAUCAUGGGUGCAAUUCAUAAAACUCUGUGCCCCAAAUAGCAUCAUCAGCUCAUUUAAACAAUACAUUCUGAUUCCCAGGACUCAUCAGUGAAUUCCUCAUUAUCUUCCCUAGAAUUCCUCUUUACAUAUGUCCGUAUUUCAGGAUAAACAGAAACUACGUGUGUUGCAAGAAUGUUUUCCCAACAUCUUCAGUCCCGUUGAUCUGAUUCUACUUCGAAAGCUAACAUACUUUCAAGUUAAUCGGUUAUAUAUGAAACUCUAACUCCUUAAUUAUAAUUCCAUUAAACCAUAAGAAUCGAUCACAGUGGGCCUAAAUCAAGGUUGUGGCUGAAUGAACUGUAAAGUGAAGCUAUAAUCAGUGAAGAAUUAAUAGAAUUUGAUAGUGAGGCUAGGGUUGGGUUUUGGGUUUUUGGGUUUUGUUUUGAUUUGCUCUGGUUUUGUUGGUGUGUUGAUUGUGUAUCCCAGGUACUUAGAACAGUGCCUGAUACUUAGCAGUCACUCUACAAACACUUGUUGAAUGAAUGAAUGAGUGAAUGAAUGAAUGAACAGACACAUAGAGCAGGGAAAUUUGAGCUACAGAAUAUUAUACAAGCAGUGAAAUGCAUGUCAUUUUCUAAUCAUUUGGUGCCUUCAACACCUCUUCACAACACCUUGAAAAAAGUCUGUAAAUUUCAAACCACCUCUUUGCAAAUUGAUUUAAUGUCACUAAGCUCCACACAUUUACAGCCCACGCUUUUUCAGUUGCUAAGUGCACUGGAUUGUCACAGUAUGUUCCAGGGGCUCCAGAUUUCUCUCUCUCAAAUGCAAAAGAUGUGCUUCUCAUUGGAAGCAAAAUCCUUGUCUUUCAAAUACAAUAUUCUCUAAAGAGAAGAAACAGUACUCUUAGAUUUCUAUCAGUUCAUAUUAAAACUGCUGUCCCAAAGCAAGGGAAAGCUUAUGAGCUCCAAAAUUCAAUAAUAUUAUGUUACAACUUGGAACUCAAAGAAGAUUUAUAGAUUAGUUUUGCAUUAAUAGCUUCACUUCAUUAGGAAUAAAAAUCAUGACAUGCUACUGAAAAAAUUUAUUCCUGAUAUGCAUUGGUAGCUACUAUUGAGGAGAUGUAUUACAAGAGACUAACUUUUCUAAGUUAAUCAUAUAAACAAAAUUUAGGUAAAAGUUUAAUACUAUGAUGAAAAAAGGGGGUAAAAGGCUACAUCAAGAAAUAAGGAAGAACAUUUAAAUUUAAUACUGUGUGUAUAUAUAUAUAUAUAUAUAUAUACACACACACACAUAAGUUUAAGAAGUAUUUAUUGAAUGAGAAUACAAUAACAAAGUAGGGAGCAAUUGGAUAUAAAAUACAAUCUGUAGAUCUGAAGAGUUUAGAGACUCAUAGGAAAGGUUAGUCAUUAAUUCAGCAAGUUUUGUUUUAAUUUUUUUAAGUUUUUAUGUAUUUGAGAGGGGGGGUAAUGAGCGGGAGAUGGGCAGAAAGAGAGAAGGACAGAGGAUCUGAAGCAGGCCCUGUGCUGACAGCAGAGAGCCGGAUGCAGGGCUAGAACUCACGAACCGUGAGAUCAUGACCUGAGCCAAAGUCAGACACUUAAUCGACUGAACCACCCAGGCACCCCCAUUAAACAAGUUUUUAUCAGGGUGCUUCUCUGGGUAGUAAAUCUGAAUGGUUGCACUGUAGCUUUGGAUCACUUCAACAUAUGUCAUCAAAUUUAAACUUUUACUUUAAGAUUUUAUUCUGUUAUAAGGAAUACACGUGUUGUUGUUAAGAUUAAAUUAUAGAAACAAAAAGUGACUUUCCGUAACUACCACCACUAGGUGGGGUAACCACUAUUACAUUAUAGGGUAUCUUUUUCUUGAAAUAAGCAUUUACAAAUACAAAUGCCUCUUUUAAAAACAAAAAUGGUAUCAUACAAUGCACAGGGUCAGUAUAGCAUACUGCUUGAGAGCAUAGGCUUUAAGCAAUAUCACCUCAAUUCAAAUCCCAGCUCUACCACUAAGUUAACUUUCACAAGUUACUAUAGAUCUUAAUACCAAAAUUUUCUAAUCUUUAAAAUGGAAACAAUAUUAGUACAUAUGCCAUACUAUUAUUACCAAAGUGAAUACUCAUAAUCACUUAAGACAGAGCCUGGACGAACCCAACCAAUGUUAGUUAUUAUUACGCAAUUUGUGCUUUUAUUCAAGAUUAUAUUGUGGACCUCCUUCCUCUCUUUCAUUUUUUUUUUUUUUUGGAAGGAGCAAACAGUACCAUGGUACAGAUUUAUUGUAAUCCAUGUCAUACAUUCUUGUUAUUAUAUGUACAGAUUGCUCCAAGGUACUCACAAAGAAUGCUGCAAAUGAUAUCUUCGUGCCUGUACUUAAUACUUCCAAAGAAUAAAUGCCUUGAAAAAAAGUGGAUGGAUCAGAAGGGAUAAAUAUUUUAAGGUGUAUUUGAGAUAUUUCUGAGUUUCCUUCCAAAAUAUGGCAACUUAUGUUCGCACCAUAACAUACGAAGGACAACAUAUCUCCACAAGAUCUACACAGUCUUUUACGAUCUUUCGUGAAUAUUUUGCUGGAAGAAGACCAAAAGGGGAACUGAGCCUUAAAAGUACUUUUGUUUUCAUAUUCAAGAAAGGAAAAGACUUUUCUUU